GGACGACGACGACGACGACGACGACGACGACGACGACGACGACGACGACGACGACGACGACGACGACGACGACGACGACGACGACGACGACGACGACGACGACGACGACGACGACGACGACGACGACGACGACGACGACGACGACGACGACGACGACGACGACGACGACGACGACGACGACGACGACGACGACGACGACGACGACGACGACGACGACGACGACGACGACGACGACGACGACGACGACGACGACGACGACGACGACGACGACGACGACGACGACGACGACGACGACGACGACGACGACGACGACGACGACGACGACGACGACGACGACGACGACGACGACGACGACGACGACGACGACGACGACGACGACGACGACGACGACGACGACGACGACGACGACGACGACGACGACGACGACGACGACGACGACGACGACGACGACGACGACGACGACGACGACGACGACGACGACGACGACGACGACGACGACGACGACG
rnacentral:lncRNA from 1 species